UACGUAUGGUGCAAGCGUUAUCCGGAUUUACUGGGCGUAAAGGGAGCGCAGGCAGCGCGCCAAGUCUGAUGUGAAACCCCGGGGCUCAACCCCGGGCAUGCAUUGGAAACUGGCGGGCUGGAGUGCCGGAGAGGUAAGCGGAAUUCCUAGUGUAGCGGUGAAAUGCGUAGAUAUUAGGAGGAACACCAGUGGCGAAGGCGGCUUACUGGACGGCAACUGACGCUGAGGCUCGAAAGCGUGGGGAGCAAACAGG
rnacentral:rRNA from 1 species